AUUUAAUUUAAUUAGAUUUAAUUUAAUUUAAUGUUAAUUGGGUUCAAUUAUCCAAAUCAGAUUUGGAUUUCAAGCCUGAUUGGAUCAGGCUUGAUAGUAUUUUCGAAUUCCACUUGUUUCAGACUCGAUUUGAACCCGAUUGAGGCUCUAUUUGAACCAGAUAAACUAUGACUCAGAGAGCCCAAGUUCUCUAAAACUUUUUCUUCAGAAAUCAUGCCAAAAAGAGAAGUGGGGUGUUGUUUUUCUCAUCCUUCUUUCUUCAUGGGCAUGAAAGGAGAAGGGGCACCAAUAGUUGGUGCCCCGCCUUAUCUGGAAUUUUUUUUCAUCCAAAUUUUUUUUAUUUAAAUUUAAUUCAAAAUAAGAUAAAAAUCUUUCAAAUUAGGGCAUAAAAGUAUUUUCUUAUAUGAUAAAAAAAUUAG
rnacentral:lncRNA from 1 species